rnacentral:rRNA from 1 species
CCUACGGGAGGCAGCAGUGGGGAAUAUUGCACAAUGGGCGAAAGCCUGAUGCAGCAACGCCGCGUGAGUGAAGAAGGCCUUCGGGUUGUAAAGCUCUGUCUUCUGGGACGAUAAUGACGGUACCUGAGGAGGAAGCCACGGCUAACUACGUGCCAGCAGCCGCGGUAAU